rnacentral:rRNA from 1 species
AUACGGAGGGUGCAAGCGUUAUUCGGAAUCACAGGGCGUAAAGGGUGCGUAGGCGGUUUGAUAAGUCUGAUGUGAAAUCCUAUGGCUCAACCAUAGAACUGCAUUGGAAACUGUCAGACUAGAAUACUGAAGGGGCAGAUGGAAUUAGUGGUGUAGGGGUAAAAUCCGUAGAUAUCACUAGGAAUACUGAAAGCGAAAGCGAUCUGCUGGGAAGUUAUUGACGCUGAGGCACGAAAGCGUGGGGAGCAAACGGGAUUAGAAACCCGAGUAGUCC